ensembl:lncRNA
GGGUGCCGGCCUCUGUCAGCACGCGGGCUCCCCAGCAGUGCGUGCCCACCCCCGGGCUGGGGUCGGGCUGCUCUGUCACACCAUAUGCUGAACAGAACCCGAGCCCCAAGCCCAGCAGCACUUGCAGACUCCUGAAAAAUACCAUUGUAUCCACACAGCCACUGAGCGGUUGACCACAACUCUGGCUGUGACCAUCCAUCCAAUUCGACAUACAGUGAGUGGUCCAUCCAUCAAUUCACGCCUCACCCCUCUCUCUUCAGAGGGAAGGGUCUCAUACAGGGCAGUAUCAAAUGUCUUCCACCAGUUCAGGUAGACGGAAAGUGCCAUCCUCUCACCAUCUACCCUCCAGGGUAGAUCCAUCAGCUCCUUUUGGCCUUCCAGCACGCCACACAGAUGAAAUCUCACCGUGACCUUUCAAGUCACAUGCCUGAUGCUGACCUUGCAGGCAAUCAGCUUCCCAGGCAGAAGGGAUCUCUCAAUCCACCUGCCAAGCGGGUGCCUUCUGCUGGCUUACCAGACACACGGGGAUGACCAUGAGCUGCAUUCCUAAAGCCUUGUUCCUGCUGCAGGUCUGUCACUUCCAGAGACAGAAAUAACCUCUCAAACAGCAUCUCAGCCACAUGUUUGGUACAAGGUGGUGAGUUCUGCUUGCACAAGUGACCUCACAGCAAAGUAUCCAUGCGUAUACUCAUCUAUAACGUAGCAGAACUUCCCCUCUGGUUGAGGAGGGGAUGGUCCAGAAGAGUCUGGGUGGGAUCAGUGUGGGAUCAGCACAAAUCCAUGGGUCCCGAUGGGAUGCAUCCACGUGUGCUGAGGGAGCUGGCAGAGGUGACUGCUGAACUGCUCUCUGUCGUCUUCGAUAGGCCCUGGAAAACAGGAGAGGUGCCUGAAGACUGGAGGAUAGCCAGUGUCCCUCUGGUGUUCAGAAAGGGCAAGGAGGAGGGUCUGGGAAACUACAGGCCAGUCAGUCUCACCUCUGUCCCUGGGAAGGUGAUGGAACAGCUGAUUCUGGAUGCCAUCUCCAAGCAAUUGGAAGAGAAGAAGGAUAUGAGGAAUGGUCAGCGUGGGUUCACCAAGAGGAAAUAGCGCUCGGCCAACCUGGUGGCCUUCUGUGAUGGCAUCACAGGUUGGGUGGAUGGGGGUGAGAUCAGGAGCUCAGGUGGGUCUGGGGUUUGAACACAUAGGGGUUAAAUAAGCUAGCUUUAGAAACCAGGGAAGGAGAACGACAUCUCAACAUUUCAUGGUCAGCUGUGCAAACACAAAGAAAGGAAACGAUGCAAAAGGAAUGGCUUUGACUGGUUUGAAUGCACCGUAAGAAGGUCAGACCGAGGAAGACGUGAAGCCUUCGCGAGGAACACUUCUGACUUCAUCCCCACGACCACCAGAGGGAGACCCCUCUUAAGGACAGCGCGUGCGCCGGGGGAGGGGCAGUAUGUAAAUGAAUUUCCGGAAGGAUAAUGAAUAUGUAGAUGACUUCCAAGAAUUCUGCUGAAUAUGUAUGGCUUUGGCUUACAAAUCCGUAGCGCUUUUUGCUCGCUGGUGUGCAAGUUUGGUGGAGUGAUCCCCCUUGCACCCGGCCAGCCAAAUAAACAUACCUGCUUUAUAACCUAACCGGGUAUAGAGUUUGAUUCCACACAUCACUGCCAUUCCUGAGUGGUUGGCACUCCGUUUUCUAACUGCCGUUCCCGUGCUGCUUCCGAGGGAGCGUUUCCCAUUGAGCCCACCUACUUCUUCCCCUUUUUUCACCGUCAGCUUCAUCGCUGAGCCCUCUGACUGCCUUUCAUUCACUUUCCCCCAGUUUGGAAGAUUCCCAUUGCUUAUUAGGCCACAGCGAGACACGUUUAUAAAACACAAAUGUGGAACCCG